UGCAUAAAUCCCUUUUACACUAAUUUGUAUAUAGCCUACUUGUGUACCUAUUCUUUCUGUCUGCAAUUUGAGUUGCAGGAGUCCACACCUAGAGAAAGGCUUGCAGAAGAGUCUGCACAAAGAACUAAUACAGAGGGUGACAUCCGUUCCCUCUAUAAACGGCAUCUUCAACAAAAAAUUGAGUAUUUUGAGCUGAAAAAAUGCAAAUUAAGAGGAGAAAUUGAACUUGACAACUUGAAAAAGAGAAAAAUUGCUCUAAAGAUAGAGUUGCUUCAAUAGGACCUUCAGAGCAAAAGAUGACUUGCUGGCUUUUCUUUAAAGAAUUGUUUAAAUAAA